rnacentral:misc_RNA from 1 species
GAACGCACCUUGCGCUCCUUGGUAUUCCGAGGAGCAUGCCUGUUUGAGUGUCAUGGAAUCAUCAACUCUUAUUUCUUUUUCGGAGAUGAGAGCUUGGACUUGGAGGUCUUUGCUGGCUUUUUGAGCCGGCUCCUCUUGAAUGCAUUAGCUUGAACCUUUGCUGUAUCGGCCUCGGUGUGAUAAUUGUCUACGCCGUGGCUGUGAGGCUUACUUUAACUGGGCUCAGCUUCCAACCGUCUGCUUGCGGACAACAUCUCAUUGACCUCUGACCUCAAAUCAGGUAGGAUUACCCGCUGAACUUAAG